CAGUGCCAUGUAGUUGAUGCGGGCCAACAUACUGUAGCUUCUGUUAGCAGUCCCCCGGCAGAUCCAGAGCAGCCGGGCAAGUGGGUGACUGUCCAAGGGAAGCAUAGCGUUACUUCUAAACCAGGGAGUGCACAUGGCUGCGGUCACUCUAAACCGGAGCAUCUUCGCCCUUCUAACAGUUUCCCUCCACUCAGUGAUACACCCGCUGAGAAGCCAACUCUGGUUAUUGGGAGCUCUAUACUGCGAUAUGUGAGGCUGGCAGCUCCAGCGGCUGCGGUCGUGUGCGUCCCUGGGGCCAGAGUGGGCGAUAUCGAAUCCCAUCUAAAGCUGCUGGCUAAAAAUAACCAUAAAUACAGUAAGAU